AGGACGAACGCUUGCGGCGUGCCUAAGAAAUGCAAGUCGAACGGAUUAACCAGCAAUGGUUAGUUAGUGGCGAACGGUCGCGUAACACGUAAGCAACCUGCCUUGAAGUUGGGGAUAACAGCCUGAAAAGGCUGCUAAUACCGGAUGUGGUCCAUUUUCGGCAUCGGGAAUGGUCUAAAGAUUUAUCGCUUCAAGAUGGGCUUGCGGCCUAUCAGGUAGUUGGUGGGGUAAUGGCCUACCAAGCCGACGACGGGUAGCUGGUCUGAGAGGACGAUCAGCCGGAUUGGGACUGAGAUACGGCCCAGACUCCUACGGGGGGCAGCAAUUAGGAAUCUUGCACAAUGGGGGAAACCCUGAUGCAGCGACGCCGCGUGAAGGAUGAAGGGUUUCGGCUGUAAACUUCUUUGACAGGAAGAAAAAAUGACGGUACUGUCGAAUAAGCCCCGACUAACUACGUGCCAGCAGCCGC
rnacentral:rRNA from 1 species